rnacentral:piRNA from 1 species
UUGAAACUUACCUCUUCGCUUGGGUGU